rnacentral:rRNA from 1 species
GUAGGUGGCAAGCGUUGUCCGGAAUUAUUGGGCGUAAAGCGCGCGCAGGCGGUCCUUUAAGUCUGAUGUGAAAGCCCACGGCUCAACCGUGGAGAGUCAUUGGAAACUGGGGGACUUGAGUACAGAAGAGGAAAGCGGAAUUCCAAGUGUAGCGGUGAAAUGCGUAGAGAUUUGGAGGAACACCAGUGGCGAAGGCGGCUUUCUGGUCUGUAACUGACGCUGAGGCGCGAAACGCGUGGGGAGCAAACAGGGAUUAGAUACCCGUGGUAGUCCACGCCGUAAACGAUGAGUGCUAAGUGUUAGGGGGUUUCCGCCCCCCUUAGUGCUGCAGCUAACGCAUUAAGCACUCCGCCUGGGGAUACGGCCGCAAGGCUG